rnacentral:other from 15 species
GUUCACCGCCGAACAGGCGGCUUAGGUU